AGGAUCGUAAUGUCAAUGGUAGCAUGACUGUCUCCAAAACAGUUCGUGGGGGUUCGAAUCCCUCCGGUCCUG
rnacentral:tRNA from 2 species